rnacentral:rRNA from 1 species
GAUGAACGCUGGCGGCGUGCCUAAUACAUGCAAGUCGAGCGAACAGACGAGGAGCUUGCUCCUCUGACGUUAGCGGCGGACGGGUGAGUAACACGUGGAUAACCUACCUAUAAGACUGGGAUAACUUCGGGAAACCGGAGCUAAUACCGGAUAAUAUAUUGAACCGCAUGGUUCAAUAGUGAAAGACGGUUUUGCUGUCACUUAUAGCUGGAUCCGCGCCGCAUUAGCUAGUUGGUAAGGUAACGGCUUACCAAGGCAACGAUGCGUAGCCGACCUGAGAGGGUGAUCGGCCACACUGGAACUGAGACACGGUCCAGACUCCUACGGGAGGCAGCAGUAGGGAAUCUUCCGCAAUGGGCGGAAGCCUGACGGAGCAACGCCGCGUGAGUGAUGAAGGUCUUCGGAUCGUAAAACUCUGUUAUUAGGGAAGAACAAAUGUGUAAGUAACUAUGCACGUCUUGACGGUACCUAAUCAGAAAGCCACGGCUAACCACGUG